UCUCUCUCUCUCUCUCUCUCUCUCUCUCUCUCUCUCUCUUUUCUCCUCUGUUGCACUGCUGCAAAAACAUCUCUUGGUCGCUCCGAGUGCUGUGGUCACUUUCCUUUCAUUGGUGCCGAAAGAGGGUUAAAACCCACUUUUCGGUCCCUCUUCCUUCUGAAGUGCCACUCACCAGAUGACCUGAACCCAUUUUCUCGAUUGCCAGAACUACUUCCACCACCGGCCUUCAAUUGAUGCCGCUUCUACAUCCAAGCAACAUGGCACCAGGAUGACACCACCCACUCUCAGUUUAUGGGUCAAGACGAUUGCCCUUCCACUGGCUGCAAUCGGGCUGUCACCCUUAACAUUAUUGGAUUCAACCAAGCCACCUCCGAUACUUCCUAGAGUCCCUACAACAGGAACAAUGGCUGAUACUAAAGAUCUUCUCUGCUCAGAAAUGGUUUGAUGCCAUUGACAACCAAUGGCUUCAAGAAAUCUUUAUGGACUUUGACCCUUCCGAAAUAACUGUCUAUAGCCACUGGAUGUCAUUUCUGGCUGCCAUGGUGUUCACAGACCUGUCCCCUGAACAUUCCUCCACUUUCCCUUCUAGAUUCCACGCCACCCACCAUUAAGCAGGAAGUAGCUAGAGGACUUUAUGACGUCCCCUGUGUCGCUUAGAAAAACAAAAAGGGAGGAAUGUUAGGUGCAGAACAGGCUGAACUAUGUUAUCUGCAGAGCAGGCUGAACAAAUGUUAGCUGCAGGAUGGCCCACACACUCAAACCCCCGCUCUGUCUGGUCCUUUAUCACCUGUUUACGUCAAAGCUGAACAUUCAACCCCCACUCAAGGCUGAACACUCAACCCUCCCUUGUGCCAACAAGGCAGCUUGCAGACCCAGAGGCCCCGUUAGAUUUGGGCUAUAAAAACUCCCUCCUGCUGGGCCCCUCUCUUGCUCUCUUGUUCUCUUGCUCUGUCUCUCUCUCUUGAUCUCUCUGUCUCCCUUGCGCGCAUGCUCUCCUCUCUCUCUCUCUCUCUCUCUCUCUCUCUCUCUCUCUUUUCUCCUCUGUUGCACUGCUGCAAAAAGAUCUCUUGGUAGCUCCAAGUGUUGUGGUCACUUUCCUUUCAAUUCUAGGUACUUGCACCUUGAUCUUGGACUUGUCAGACUCCAGAACCGUGAGAACUAAAUUUCUGUUCUUUAUAAA